rnacentral:lncRNA from 1 species
AGAAUUUCAUCCUGUUUGCACAUCAAUCUUUAAGGUAUCCAGGGUGAUAAGUUAAAGAGCAGUGAGACUAGUUACUGGUUACUAGUUCCUACCUGCAUUAUAUCCCCAACAUUGAUGACAAUAGCACCAGGGACAGGUUUAACAUCCACCCAACCCUCCCCAUGUUUAACCUGCAAACCACCAAUCUGAUCCUGCAGUAAUACUGUUAAAACUCCAGGAUCUGUGUGAGACAUAAUCCCGACUGUUAGAUCGGGCUGGGGACAGUAAGGAUAAUAGUGGGCUGCCAUAGUCCUAGCAUCCAAAAAUGUCAAGUCCUUCAACUUCCCUGCAUUUAAUCCUAGGCCUUCACAUAACAGUUCCAUCAACAGCUCUCCCAAUUGUUUGGCGCAUUGAUUCCAAUCAACAAGCUCGUUUCUACAUAUCUCAGGGAUUUCUUCAAGCUCUG